CUCAUGGCAAUUCUGCUGCCUCAGACUCCUGAGUGCUGAGAUUACAGGGGUGCACCACCACACCCGGCAUGAGAGGAGCACUGUAGCAAGUGGGCCCACACAUACCUGAGCCAGAGAAACCACAGCGGAGGUUUGUUGGAGGGUCUGCUGCUUGCCUGACACCCGGCCAUGUGUUGGAAAUACAGAAGGGACGGGAUGUACUCUGUCCCAGCUAUCACCAGAGGACCUGGGAGCAGCCUGGAAGGUGCUCUGGGGGCUGGUGGACAGAGCACAGCUACUCAGGAGGCUGAGGCAGGAGGACUUUGAGUUCGAGGCCUGUUUGCACAACUUAGAGAGAUCCUGUCCGUGAGCUUAUUGAAAGGGACGUGAUCUGGCCUUUUCUAGAAAUCUAAUCCUUCCCAGAUGGAGUCCAGUUCUCUCACCCCAGCCCCCUGCAAGGCAGGGCUCCAGAAAGCAGGAGGGUUUUGUCUGCCAGAUCUGAGACUCAGCUGUCACUCACCAUUGAGGGGAUGUGAGGGGUGGAUCGCCUUCCUGAACCUCGGUUUCCCCAAAGAUCCAUGAGCCAACAAACACAGCUCCAGGCUAACCAUGAGAAAAACAGCAGACAAGUCUCAACUCCAGGACAGCUGCAAAACACCUGACCAGCGCUCCUCGAAACUGUCCAAAACAAGGAAAGUCUGAGAAACUGUCAGAAUCAAGCCUUGGCUAGCCUCGAAUUUGUGGCAGUCCUCCUGCCUCAACCUCCUGAGUGCUGGGAUUAGAGGGGACAGAGGACCGGCCCUCCAUGAGAAGUGCAUCUCCCCUCACUGUGUGUGCCCCGGGGCCAAACAUCUAAUUCGAGGCAUCUGACGUUGGCUCAUGCAGAUACGGAAUAACCGCUUUCCUAAGGAAGAAGCAGGAGGGUAAGACCUCCAAAUCGGAGUUCUUGCUUCAUUUAUUUUUCUGGUAUGUUGAGAAAUUUGUGCCCAGCUGCAUUUAUUUAUAACAAACCAGAAUGAGAAGUCCUGGUGUCGUCUUAUUUGUUUAUUGCUGAAACAAAAAAAUCUAUAAGUAUUGUCAAGAAAGAACAGACUGAAAUUUCACUAUGACUGGGUUUAAAUGGAACCCAAAAUCUUGAGUAAAACUUUAAUCACAAAAUGAGUUUAUGAAAUGCGUGUGUGUUUGGCUGUGUGUCUAUCAUUGUUUGUGAAUGUAGCAUGUGUAUAUAGUAGAUGUUGAUGUACAAAGCAUGUGUUCAUGCUGAAUAGAUGUGACUGGAGUGUGUGCGGGUCUAGUGUGUGCAUGUGGUAUGCAGUGGGUGUUCGUAAACCACAAGAGUGCAUGUUUGUGUUCAGCAUGGUGUGUGCAAUCUGCAUGCUGUAUGUAGUAAACAGAAAAGGUGGUACAGUGUGUGUGUGUGUGUGGGACGUGUGUGCACAGUCCAUGUGUACAUGGCCCAUGACAUGUGAAUUCUGGGUACGCAUGUGGUGUCCUUGCUCUGACCCACUGGCCUUGAGCAGGCCUGGGAAUGACACAAAGUAGUGAAGCAGCUUCCUGGAGGACCAUGCAAGGAAUGAGAGUGAA